AACCAUUCUGAAACCACCCCCACCCCUCCAUGGAACAACGGCCAGAAAUCCGACACACAGCACCGGGACGUUUGGAUACCGGUGAUGAUACUAAACGGCUACACUGCUGGUGUGGGUAUUUGCUAAAAUUUGAUGGUUAGUUUUAGAGCAUAAUCCUUUCACUUAUUAAAAAAAGAUCAGUGUGAACCGCCCUGUUCCACCAGCAGCAGCCUCAGAACUCUUGUGGCCGACACCAUCUAGGUUUGUCAGGAACACCAUCACGCUCACACAUUGCCAAGGAUGCACUUCUCGGAGCGCCACCGCCAUGUUAAGUGACACGUGGCUGGCUGAAGAAUGCAGGGCAGAGAGUCUGACCCUGCCUCCUGACACCACUUUGGGGCGUCAGGGGACACCCACGCUGAGACACCUGCUGGAAGCCAGAGCUGCUUUCAUUCAGCAAACACUUGCUGGGCACCUUCAGGACAAGGUCCUGAGCCAAGCAGGCAGCAGGCACUGAAGAGCUGAGUAAGGACGUGACAUCGUCACGGCAGAAGCCCCUGCCGAAACACAAUGAAAAGCUGCUGAGCGAGGCACUGGAGGCUGCUGGAGUCAACACAACAGGCGCACAGGACCCGAAUUAACUUAUUAUCCUAAAUGAGGAAACACUGCCAAGCUACGUCGUCAAGGGUCCUGAAGAGGAAAGUGAACACCUUCAGCUGUACUAGCGGAAUCUUUCUCUACACAAGGCCCAUCUGGCUCACUCACAGCCUUCCUGGCUGCUGCCGCCAUGUGAUUUUGCAACUGCCACAGAACGAGGCCAGUUACCCUUGCUCUCCCUUCUGAGGGGCAGCAGGUGGAGCUCACAACCAUGCGCUGCUGGAGAGGAAAACAGGUCCACAGGCCACCACCAACACACAUCCGUGAUCUGCUCUCAGUCCGGCCAGCACUCUCAGUUGCUGGGUGCCACAAUAUUUGGCGACCCAAAACAUCAGGUAACUCCCACACGGCUCCGGCAAAUGUGCUGGCUUGUACCUGGCUUCUGUGGUUAAUCUAGUCCAGCCCGGGCAUUGCAGGAAGACCCCAUGGAAACCCCAUGGAAACAUCCGACCCCAGCCCUCAGCAUAUGGCACCAGACCCUGGACCAUCCCAAGUAAGCAAAAGAGGAGGAUGCAGACCCGCAUUUGGGGGACUGCCAUCAAGACUUGCAGUCUACCAAGCAACACAGAAGCGGCACCCAGAGUCUCCCCACCUUCCAUAUUC